rnacentral:rRNA from 1 species
CCUACGGGAGGCAGCAGUGGGGAAUAUUGGGCAAUGGGCGCAAGCCUGACCCAGCAACGCCGCGUGAAGGAAGAAUGCUUUCGGGUUUUAAACUUCUUUUAUCAGGGACGAAACAAAUGACGGUACCUGAUGAAUAAGCUCCGGCUAACUACGUGCCAGCAGCCGCGGUAAUACGUAGGGAGCAAGCGUUAUCCGGAUUUACUGGGUGUAAAGGGCGCGUAGGCGGGAUGGCAAGUCAGAUGUGAAAUCCAGGGGCUCAACCCCUGAACUGCAUUUGAAACUGUCGUUCUUGAGUACUGGAGAGGUAGACGGAAUUCGUAGUGUAGCGGUGAAAUGCAUAGAUAUUAGGCGGAACACCAGUGGCGAAGGCGGUAAACUGGACAGCAACUGACGCUGAGGCGCGAAAGCGUGGGGAGCAAACAGGAUUAGAUACCCGUGUAGUC